ACGUGGGAACAUACCCUUCGGUUCGGAACAACGUUUGGAAACGGACGCUAAUACCGGAUACGGCUCAAGGGCGAAAGAUUGAUCGCCGAAGGAUUGGCCCGCGUUCGAUUAGCUUGAUGGCGGGGUAACGGCCCACCAUGGCGACGAUCGAUAGCUGGUCUGAGAGGAUGGCCAGCCACAUUGGGACUGAGACACGGCCCAAACUCCUACGGGAGGCAGCAGUGGGGAAUAUUGGACAAUGGGCGCAAGCCUGAUCCAGCCAUGCCGCGUGAGUGAUGACGGCCUUAGGGUUGUAAAGCU
rnacentral:rRNA from 1 species